UGGCUUUGCAUGCAGGAGGUUCUUUGAAACUUUUCUGGAUCUGUCAGUCUGGUUCACAGAAAACUGGUUUUAUCAGUAUUGGUCAUGGCACAAAAACGGUAGAGUUGAGGUGUUUUUCCUCCGUCACGGAGACAGAGCUGAGAUUUUCGACAGCCCGUGUGAUCUAAUCCAAGCUUGGAGGAGGGAUGGCCACGUCCCAGGGCCCAGCUGGCCACUGGAGCCUGAUGGUGAUUGUGGAGACUGCAGGUGGAGCCCUUCCCCAGGUUUCCCAGUAUCAGUGAAACCUGCCAACCAGGAAGAAGACUGUUUAUCCUUUGAGGAUGUGGCUGUGGACUUCUCCUGGGAGGAAUGGACACUGCUUGAUGACUCUCAAAGGAUCCUGCACCAGACGUUGAUGUCAGAAAUAUGAACACUCAUGUAUUUACUUGACUUAAACCUUCUGGGAUCCAUGGGCUUACUCAGCUGGAGUCUUGGGGAGAGCCCUCUGUGCCUGCGUUGAGAUUCCUGACUCCAGGUUGUUGGAUCAAAGUGGAGAGUGAAAUAUCACCCUUUGAGCAGAGUCUAUCUGCAGAAGGUGCCAGUCCAUCCACGCUGCAGCAGCACAUGC